UAAAGCGCGGCCCCUGUAAAGCGCGGCCUGAUUGGCCCUUUGAACCGGGCGUGGGAUUGGCCGUCGCCUGCCCACCCCGCGGCUGCAGCGUUCCCUGGGGCCUAGCCAACCGCGGGCAGGGCUGGGCAAGGCGGGAGGAGCGCGGACCCAAGAUCGGCUACGCUGCGUCUGCUCAGGCUGCGAGUUCCCGGCUCUGGGGACUCACCUUGCGGAGCUUACCCAGGCGGACUCUCCGCAGCCCCUGAUGGGUGUGUGUGUCAGACCGUUUACUAAACACCAGGACUGUUGUAGGCGACUAUGCCUUCCCUUUCUAAUAAGCUGCAUGUUAUGUAUCCCUAUUCUACAGAUGUGGGGAAUCCGAAAUUUUUAGCUUUUACUGGGACACACAGCUAGCAAGCAACUAAAGCGAGAAUUCCAACCUGAGCUCCAAUCCGAACUAUUUUCAUAAAAGGCAGGAUCCCAGGCUGAGGGAGUUCGAGGUUUGGGAGACAGUUUAGCAGUCGCUGAGUCCAAACAUGUUGUUUUCCUAGAAAAGAAAACUGAGAUCCAGGAAAGGGAAGUGAUUUUCCAAAGACACACCUGUGAAAGCAGCCGUGUUGAACCAUGAAAGGACCUCAGGAAUGAAACCCACACACAGCAAAGCAACAAAGUGAAAGAAGCGUGGAUUCCUAAUGCAGGAGGCACUGAACCAAUCAAUACCCACUGCCCUCCAGACCUCCACAUGAAAGAAAAAAACUGCUGUCCUGUGUAAGACACUUUUAUUUUGUGUUUCUAUUGUAUGAGGUCAAACCUAAUAACAGAUAUAUUACACUCUAACAGAUACAUUACAUUGUAUAGUAGAAUUCUCAGACAGCAACCUUAUAAGGUGAUAGAUGCAGAAACAGGCCCAAAGAGUAAAAAUAAUUUGUUCAGAGUUUUCCAGCCAAGUGGCGAAGGUGAGAUUCUUACCUGGGUUUGUCUGAAACCAAUUUUCACUAUCUUUUUCAGUUAUGAUACACUGCCUAUUACGAAUGAAUGAAUCCUUUUUUUUUUUUCCAUUUACUUCCAUUUGAUUCAUUUAUUCCAGGGAGUGACACUUUUUCUGUAAAGGACCGAUAGUAAAUAUUUUAGACUUUGUGAGCAAUA
rnacentral:lncRNA from 10 species